GGGGUUGUGGCUCAGUGGUAGAGCACUUGCUUUGCACACAUAGGGCACUGAGUUCAAUCCUCAGCACCACGA
rfam:Ictidomys tridecemlineatus contig045186, whole genome shotgun sequence.